CUCAGAUCCUGCCUUUACCUGCUCCCUCCUAUACUGAUGUGGUGUAUGUGGUAUUGCUGAGCUUGUAUGUGGUGGAAGCAGAAUAUGUGAGGAUUACUACUGCUGCACAUGUUCCAAGGCUUUUUACACAACUUGACCAAUACACUGACCAGCUCAUAAAAGUCUUCAAGAAAAAAAGGAGGCGUUGCAGGGAAGAAAAUUAGACAAACUUUGGCCCCAGCCACACAGAAGGAAACCAUUGAAAAGGGGAGGGAGUGUGUCCUCAGGGCACUACCUUUUUACCUGAAUGAAGACCCAAGCAUCCUCUUCAAAGA